rnacentral:sRNA from 1 species
UUCUGCCCCACGGGGAAGGAUGAGAAGCUUCGACUAAGGUUCGACUCGAGCGAAGCGAGAAAACGUUGCCGCAGGCAACGGCCCGAAGGGCGAGGCGCUUUAGCGCCGAGUAAUCCUUCCCCCACCACCA